UACAGAGGGGGCAAGCGUUAUUCGGAAUUAUUGGGCGUAAAGGGCGCGUAGGCGGCCUGGCAAGUGGAAGGUGAAAUCCCUCGGCUUAACCGAGGAACUGCCCUCCAAACUGCUUGGCUUGAGUCCGGGAGAGGUGAGUGGAAUUCCCAGUGUAGCGGUGAAAUGCGUAGAUAUCAGGAGGAACACCGGUGGCGAAGGCGGGUCUCUGGGCCGAUACUGACGCUGAGGAGCGAAAGCGUGGGGAGCGAACAGG
rnacentral:rRNA from 1 species